rnacentral:rRNA from 1 species
GGUUAAGCGACUAAGCGUACACGGUGGAUGCCCUGGCAGUCAGAGGCGAUGAAGGACGUGCUAAUCUGCGAUAAGCGUCGGUAAGGUGAUAUGAACCGUUAUAACCGGCGAUUUCCGAAUGGGGAAACCCAGUGUGUUUCGACACACUAUCAUUAACUGAAUCCAUAGGUUAAUGAGGCGAACCGGGGGAACUGAAACAUCUAAGUACCCCGAGGAAAAGAAAUCAACCGAGAUUCCCCCAGUAGCGGCGAGCGAACGGGGAGCAGCCCAGAGCCUGAAUCAGUGUGUGUGUUAGUGGAAGCGUCUGGAAAGGCGCGCGAUACAGGGUGACAGCCCCGUACACAAAAAUGCACAUGCUGUGAGCUCGAUGAGUAGGGCGGGACACGUGGUAUCCUGUCUGAAUAUGGGGGGACCAUCCUCCAAGGCUAAAUACUCCUGACUGACCGAUAGUGAACCAGUACCGUGAGGGAAAGGCGAAAAGAACCCCGGCGAGGGGAGUGAAAAAGAACCUGAAACCGUGUACGUACAAGCAGUGGGAGCACGCUUAGGCGUGUGACUGCGUACCUUUUGUAUAAUGGGUCAGCGACUUAUAUUCUGUAGCAAGGUUAACCGAAUAGGGGAGCCGAAGGGAAACCGAGUCUUAACUGGGCGUUAAGUUGCAGGGUAUAGACCCGAAACCCGGUGAUCUAGCCAUGGGCAGGUUGAAGGUUGGGUAACACUAACUGGAGGACCGAACCGACUAAUGUUGAAAAAUUAGCGGAUGACUUGUGGCUGGGGGUGAAAGGCCAAUCAAACCGGGAGAUAGCUGGUUCUCCCCGAAAGCUAUUUAGGUAGCGCCUCGUGAAUUCAUCUCCCGGGGUAGAGCACUGUUUCGGCAAGGGGGUCAUCCCGACUUACCAACCCGAUGCAAACUGCGAAUACCGGAGAAUGUUAUCACGGGAGACACACGGCGGGUGCUAACGUCCGUCGUGAAGAGGGAAACAACCCAGACCGCCAGCUAAGGUCCCAAAGUCAUGGUUAAGUGGGAAACGAUGUGGGAAGGCCCAGACAGCCAGGAUGUUGGCUUAGAAGCAGCCAUCAUUUAAAGAAAGCGUAAUAGCUCACUGGUCGAGUCGGCCUGCGCGGAAGAUGUAACGGGGCUAAACCAUGCACCGAAGCUGCGGCAGCGACGCUUAUGCGUUGUUGGGUAGGGGAGCGUUCUGUAAGCCUGCGAAGGUGUGCUGUGAGGCAUGCUGGAGGUAUCAGAAGUGCGAAUGCUGACAUAAGUAACGAUAAAGCGGGUGAAAAGCCCGCUCGCCGGAAGACCAAGGGUUCCUGUCCAACGUUAAUCGGGGCAGGGUGAGUCGACCCCUAAGGCGAGGCCGAAAGGCGUAGUCGAUGGGAAACAGGUUAAUAUUCCUGUACUUGGUGUUACUGCGAAGGGGGGACGGAGAAGGCUAUGUUGGCCGGGCGACGGUUGUCCCGGUUUAAGCGUGUAGGCUGGUUUUCCAGGCAAAUCCGGAAAAUCAAGGCUGAGGCGUGAUGACGAGGCACUACGGUGCUGAAGCAACAAAUGCCCUGCUUCCAGGAAAAGCCUCUAAGCAUCAGGUAACAUCAAAUCGUACCCCAAACCGACACAGGUGGUCAGGUAGAGAAUACCAAGGCGCUUGAGAGAACUCGGGUGAAGGAACUAGGCAAAAUGGUGCCGUAACUUCGGGAGAAGGCACGCUGAUAUGUAGGUGAAGUCCCUCGCGGAUGGAGCUGAAAUCAGUCGAAGAUACCAGCUGGCUGCAACUGUUUAUUAAAAACACAGCACUGUGCAAACACGAAAGUGGACGUAUACGGUGUGACGCCUGCCCGGUGCCGGAAGGUUAAUUGAUGGGGUCAGCGCAAGCGAAGCUCUUGAUCGAAGCCCCGGUAAACGGCGGCCGUAACUAUAACGGUCCUAAGGUAGCGAAAUUCCUUGUCGGGUAAGUUCCGACCUGCACGAAUGGCGUAAUGAUGGCCAGGCUGUCUCCACCCGAGACUCAGUGAAAUUGAACUCGCUGUGAAGAUGCAGUGUACCCGCGGCAAGACGGAAAGACCCCGUGAACCUUUACUAUAGCUUGACACUGAACAUUGAGCCUUGAUGUGUAGGAUAGGUGGGAGGCUUUGAAGUGUGGACGCCAGUCUGCAUGGAGCCGACCUUGAAAUACCACCCUUUAAUGUUUGAUGUUCUAACGUUGACCCGUGAUCCGGGUUGCGGACAGUGUCUGGUGGGUAGUUUGACUGGGGCGGUCUCCUCCUAAAGAGUAACGGAGGAGCACGAAGGUUGGCUAAUCCUGGUCGGACAUCAGGAGGUUAGUGCAAUGGCAUAAGCCAGCUUGACUGCGAGCGUGACGGCGCGAGCAGGUGCGAAAGCAGGUCAUAGUGAUCCGGUGGUUCUGAAUGGAAGGGCCAUCGCUCAACGGAUAAAAGGUACUCCGGGGAUAACAGGCUGAUACCGCCCAAGAGUUCAUAUCGACGGCGGUGUUUGGCACCUCGAUGUCGGCUCAUCACAUCCUGGGGCUGAAGUAGGUCCCAAGGGUAUGGCUGUUCGCCAUUUAAAGUGGUACGCGAGCUGGGUUUAGAACGUCGUGAGACAGUUCGGUCCCUAUCUGCCGUGGGCGCUGGAGAACUGAGGGGGGCUGCUCCUAGUACGAGAGGACCGGAGUGGACGCAUCACUGGUGUUCGGGUUGUCAUGCCAAUGGCACUGCCCGGUAGCUAAAUGCGGAAGAGAUAAGUGCUGAAAGCAUCUAAGCACGAAACUUGCCCCGAGAUGAGUUCUCCCUGACUCCUUGAGAGUCCUGAAGGAACGUUGAAGACGACGACGUUGAUAGGCCGGGUGUGUAAGCGCAGCGAUGCGUUGAGCUAACCGGUACUAAUGAACCGUGAGGCUUAACCUU